rnacentral:rRNA from 1 species
UACGGGGGGGGCAAGCGUUGCUCGGAAUCACUGGGCGUAAAGCGCACGUAGGCGGCUUUCUAAGUCAGGGGUGAAAUCCUGGAGCUCAACUCCAGAACUGCCUUUGAUACUGGAGAGCUUGAGUCCGGAAGAGGUGAGUGGAACUCCGAGUGUAGAGGUGAAAUUCGUAGAUAUUCGGAAGAACACCAGUGGCGAAGGCGGCUCACUGGUCCGGUACUGACGCUGAUGUGCGAAAGCGUGGGGAGCAAACAGG